UGCAACAAUGUGUGUAAUUUGCGUCAGAUUGGUAAUUAGGCGACAGUUGCCUACUGUCAGAAGCCAUAAUUACUAGACUUGAUGAUAAUAUUUACUGAGCA